ensembl:lncRNA
CGAGUUGUUCUCCGCGGUGUGGUGGGCCGCGUGAGCAACUCGGGGACCGGUUACUUGAUGGAAGCGGGCAUCGUUAACCGGGCAGUGCGGUGCCUAGAUCCUGCCGGUGCUGCUGCAGGAGUUACUGCUGCCCUCCUUUUCCCUCAAUGUUCCUCAGGCAGCGAAGGGCAAGCUCUGCUGCAAAUAGCGUUCAACUCACUGUUGAGCCAGCUGCUCUGACACGAGAAAUACCUGUCCCGGUUCCUUACAGCUGCUUCCAUCUAUCCAGGACAGCAUCACCCCAGCUGAUGCCAGGGAGAUUGAAGAUCACCAGAGGCACCAAUGGCAGUGACUGAAGAACCCCAGCAACACUGUCAUACAACAGAAGCACUCUAGCUCAGAGUUAGCAGUUGAGGGUAUAAGACAGUGCCAAGAGGACCUUCCUCAGGGAUCAGAUGUACUCUCUGAAAAUAAAGUAAGGUGGUGUGUUCUGGUGUUAGGUUCAUUGGUUGGGUUUCAUUGUUGUCAUUAUUUUGUACAUAAAGUUAUUUUGGGUCAGAAGCUGAAUGCUUGUAUACUGUGUAAAUGUAUUUGUGAUCAGUUUAAACCUGUUUGUUCUUGGGCCAGCAUGGCCUUUCAGGAUUUGUACAGUAUUCUUGUACUCUAACUACAUGGCUUUCAUUUUGUGAGAUUCCUCUGAUUGUUUUAGUUGUCCUUCUCUGCACCUGCUCCAAAUUGAUUUAAUCUUACGUGGACUUGAACUGUAGCCCACACAAAUCUCACUGGUACAAUUUGUGCCUAUAUUUUAUUCUUUGUACCUGCCCUGUAAAGCACUUACCCUUCUCACAGCACCAUCUUACAUGUAGAUACUGUAGGACCAGCUGAUACUUUCUCAACAAUUGUCAGCCACCAAUCUCCAGCUUAGAGCUGAAAUUUUUGCUAUUGUUUCUGAAGCAGUAUCACUUCAUUUGACUUUGGGGUCUGGGUUGUGGUGGCUUCACCCUGGUGGGCAGCUGAACAGCAGCACGUUGCCCUCUUGCUUUCCCUCCUCGAGGGAAGAGGGGGAUGGAAUACAAUAAAAAACAGCCUAAGGUUUGAGAGAAAGACAGGGAGAUUGUUCACCAGUUAGUGCCAGAAGCAAAAUCUCAGCAUAGGGAGGUUAAUGUAAUUUAUUGCCUCUUAAUAACAGAUUGGAGCAGUGAGAACUAAAAGUAAGCCAACCUACCCAUCCAUACCCUCUUCUGUCUCUUCCCCCAAGCUGUGCAGAGGAACAGAGAGUGGGGUCUGCAGUGACUCCAUAAUGUUCCAUUUCUGCCACUCCUCCAUGGUCCUUCUCUGCUCUUGCUCCCAUGGAUGCCAUCGUCCCUGAACUGAUCCUGAGCGGACUUCCCACGGCCUUCAGUCCUCCAAGCACUGUCCCAAGACAGCUCUGUACCACAGGGCCCACUGUUCAGGCACUGCUCCAUAUGGGUCCCUAUGGGCAGCAGCUCCUCCAGCCCUCCUGCCCCAUCAUGGGCCACUCCCCACAGGCUGCAGCUCUGACCUGGGGCUGCUCCUGGGGGGUACCCAUGGGCUGUGCCCCCUCCAGGCCCCUCCACUGCUGCUGUGUGGCAUCCUUCAUGGCUGCACAGGGCAGUGUCCAUGGGCUGCAAGAGACAGCCUGCUCCUCCAUGAGCCUCUCCUGAGCUGCAGGGAGCUUCUGCUGCAUGCCAGGAGCUCCUCCUGCACUCCUCCUGCACUGACCUGGGUGCCUGCAGGGCUGGUGCUCUCCCUUUUCUCAUUCCUUUCUCCCAGCUGCUGUCAUGCAGCAGUUUCUCCCUCUCAUAUCUGCUAUCCCAGAACACAUCCAGUGUUGCUCAUGGCUCAGCUCUGGCAGUGUUGUGUCCUGUUGGAGCAGCUGGAGCUGACUAUGCUGUAACAUGGGGCAGUGCUGGGCUCUGAGCAGAGGACAACCCCACAGACCACUCCAUUACCCAAAUCUUACCAGGUAAUCCUGAUAGCUAACAUUUAUUUACAUUGUUCCUGUUACCAAAAUCAUAUCUUUUUCUGUGUGGAC